UUGACCUCGAAUCAGGUAGGAAUACCCGCUGAACUUAAGCAUAUCAAUAAGCGGAGGAAAAGAAACCAACAGGGAUUGCCCCAGUAACGGCGAGUGAAGCGGCAACAGCUCAAAUUUGAAAUCUGGCCCCUUGGGGCCCGAGUUGUAAUUUGCAGAGGAUACUUUUGGCGAGGCGCCUUCCGAGUUCCCUGGAACGGGACGCCAUAGAGGGUGAGAGCCCCGUCUGGUUGGAUGCCGAGCCUCUGUAAAGUUCCUUCGACGAGUCGAGUAGUUUGGGAAUGCUGCUCUAAAUGGGAGGUAUAUGUCUUCUAAAGCUAAAUAUUGGCCAGAGACCGAUAGCGCACAAGUAGAGUGAUCGAAAGAUGAAAAGCACUUUGGAAAGAGGGUUAAAAAGCACGUGAAAUUGUUGAAAGGGAAGCGCUUGUGACCAGACGUGGGCCUGUCGGAUCAUCCAGCGUUCUCGCUGGUGCACUCCGGCGGGCUCAGGCCAGCAUCAGCUCGUCCCGGGGGACAAAGGCAGCGGGAAUGUGGCUCCUUCGGGAGUGUUAUAGCCCGCUGUGUAAUGCCCUGGGGCGGGCUGAGGUUCGCGCAUCUGCAU
rnacentral:rRNA from 1 species